GAGUUGGCUGGGCAGUCGCCGGUAGCUUUUUAGUAUCGGAGGAAAGUCCGGGCUCCGUAGGACAAAGUGCCAGAUAACAUCUGGGGAAUGCGAAUUCACGGAAAGUGCAACAGAAAAAAUACCGCCUCUUUCAUUUGAAUUGGGGUAAGGGUGAAAUGGUGUGGUAAGAGCACACCGCAUUAUUGGUAACAAUAAUGGCAUGGUAAACCCCACUUGGAGCAAGGCCAAAUAGGAAUCAUAUGGUGUGGUCCGCACCUGAUUCGGGUAGGCUGCUAGAGGUUGUUGGCGACAACAAUCCCAGAUGAAUGACUGUCCUCGACAGAACCCGGCUUAUAGGCCAACUCUA
rnacentral:RNase_P_RNA from 1 species